CUUGGCGGAACACGGAGAGAAACUUGAAACAUACCGUUCAUCCCAAAGGAGUGGGCUUGACUGACUAAGGAGAAGGGCCUGCUCAGUAAUCAGCCUUUCCAGAACAUUCGCAGACACUCCUUCAGACCCUGCUUGUCACAGCUUGGCAGAGCCAUUCCGGUUUCUCUCCUGCUGCCCUAAUUAGCUUGUAGCUCGGCAGCAUCUUCUCAUCGGACACACAAGCCUCGAAGUUGCUUCCCACCACACACAUUUGUUUGCUCCAACAAAUCCAGCUUAUCUCAUUGCUCCUGGCAGUUGGGCUGCUGGGUCUAAUUUCUUCAAGCCAACUUAGAUUCACAUCCUGUUCUUGUGUGGAUUCAAAAGAGCCCCGCAGACCUGCCAAGGCCAUGAAGAAUCUGAAUCCAGUCAGCUACCUUCUGAAUCUGCAGAUGCAGUGUGACCAACUGUUUUAUGUGCUCCUGCUGAAAUGCCCUACCCACCUGGUGGACUGUAUCCUCUCAAACUGGGAGCCAAAAUAAAUUCUUCCCCC